AAGGCCUUAGCUUAAUUAAAGUAUCUGGGUUGCAUUCAGGGGAUGUAGGUUAAUGUCCUACAGGUCUUA
rnacentral:tRNA from 2 species